GAGACUCAACACGUUCUCAAGCUACUGGGGGUGGGGGAAGCAAUAUACAAACACAAUACAAGCUAACCAGUGAUAUGAAGUGGCACACUGUCGUCUGAGAGUGGCCUUGAUGAGCAAGUGAUGCGCACAUCACUGUGGCCUGCUUCUGUCCUCCUUCUCUACCAGAAGAAAGUGGUUGCUCAGUGCAGAAGACAGGGAAAAUGAGAGCAGUCUCAGAAAUAGAUGCAGUUGGAAGAAAGCAGUGCAGUUGUCUCCGCAAUACAGACAGCAGAGAGUUCCAGUUCCCAGAAAGCUCUUCUGUCUUCUCCCUGAUGAUGACUGAUGUUGGAAAUGAGAAGCUGAGACAUGGCAAAGCCACGCUUCUGAAUCAACCAUGGAGCCAGCAUUAACUA
rnacentral:lncRNA from 1 species